GAAAAUUUAUUCUGAACAUGAUGAUGAAUUCAUUUCUGGUAGUGCAACAACAGAGGAAGAUGUCAAGGAAUGUCUGGACAAGAUUCAUGAUUGCAUUCUUCAAACAGAAGUGAUAGAUAAUGGGGAAAAUGACAAAGAAAAAUGUGAUCAAGUAGUUGUUCGGAAAAAGACGGAAGUAUUGAACUAAAAUCUGACACCUGUGUAAAAGAUAAAGAUGAUGUGAAUGCAAAGUUUAUUGAUGUUGUUGAUGUAUAUGAACCCAAGAAUAGCGAUCCUGUUCGUUUAUAUAGUAAAAACGUAGGCGAAGGAAAAGAUUCAGUUGCUAUCAAUGGUCAGAAUGUUGAUUUGUGUGAAAAAUUAGAGGAGGAAGUAGAGGAAAAUAUUAAAUGCAAAGGUUUUAAUGGUGGUUAUAAGACAAAUGGUGCUACUGUUUACAUGCAAUUAGAAAAUAUGGGAGGGUAGAAAUAUUGUGUUCAUAAACUACAACUUUAAGAAAAUGUUGAAAACACAUCUAUUAUA